CGGAAUUAAAACAAUACACAACCGAUUUGAACAAAUUGAAAGUGGUGAAUGAUGAUAAAUGCUAAAAAAUUACUUAAGAUUUAUCUUUAACAAUAGAUAUUAGAAGUUAAAUUUAACUGUUUUUAAAUUCCCACCGGAGUUAAAGGGACCUGCGGCCUUGCAUGUGCUCUGCAUCUUCAACUGCAGAGACAGUCAGUCUAAGCUCAGUGUAGCUAACUGCAACACACUUUUUUUUUUUCAACACAAGAUAUGCUUGGGGGGAUUUAAAUGAUAAUAUUAAUGUUUUCUUAUUCAGCACAAAUCAAUAAUAUUAUAGUUAUUUGCUCAUGGUCUGGUUCUCUGGCCCAGCGUUUCUGAUGUUAUUCUAAGGUUUUUGAGUUUCUUAUGUUUAAUGGCGGGUUAGUUGAGUUUGGCUUAACGUUAUUAAUAUCGUUUUAAGGAGUUUAUGUUAGGGCUGUAUAUUACCACGUUUGUAUUUUCAUGCCAUGUUUCCUGUUUUAUUUUGAAAGAGUCUGUUGCGUUCAGUUCAUUAAUCUCACUUCCCUGUUGUGUCAAUAGACUCAUUUGUCCAAGCUACUACCCUGCUGUCCCUCUGUCGUGUCUCAACCUCCAACAGGAAAGUAGAAGUCCUCAUAUGACACCAGGUGCCGAGGUCCUGUCUCAACCUCCUUCAGACCAAUUGAUGAGUGACACACCCACUUCAUUCUUCCAACAGACACCAGGUGCCGAGGUCCUGUCUCAACCUCCUUCAGACCAAUUGACACCAAGUGCCGAGGUCCUGUCUCAACCUCCUUCAGACCAAUUGAUGAGUGACACACCCACUUCAUUCUUCCAACAGACACCAGGUGCCGAGGUCCUACCUCAACCUCCUUCAGACCAAUUGGCUCAAGGACCAAGUAUUCUGGGGGUUCCAAGCCACACGCUUUACUCAGCUGCCCUGGACAACAUGAAGGGCACCUCUGGCUCAAUCACCCUGAACAACAAAAACAUUAGCAACACUUCACCAAGAAGGGCUGGGACGGUGAGAAGCAAGUGGACAAAUGAUGAAGUGAAGGUUGCUGAGCGGCACGUUUCACUUCAUAAAAAGCUGCAAAGUACCAGGUAAAAAGGAAUGUGACUGCUGCCUCCAAGCAGAGCCGGCAGCUCUGAAAGACAGAGACUGGGUUGUCAUAAGGUACUACAGCCACAACAGGAUCAUAGCAUUAAAAGAAAGAUGCAAGAAAAAAAGAAACAAGCAAGAGAGAUACUUUGUUACUUCCACAGUUAUGUCAGUAUUGCAGUUUUCUGUAUUGCAUUGUUCUUACUCAUAAAUCUGUGGUUUAUGCUGGGUGCUUUUUGCAAUUAAAUGAUAAAAAAGGCAGAUAAUGUUCCACGUUUUUAUUCACAUGAACAUUCACUACAAAAUGAAUUAAUGCAUUACAAUAUCAAGACUUAAAAAGUAGACUGACCACAUUUGACCCAUGUCUUUUUUUUUUUUAAAAAGUCUUUACACAGCUCAGAUUUACUGUUUUAUUAACACAUAAAUGUCUGAUAUUUCUGUCAGAAGUUACCCAACUGGUGAGCAUUACUAUUGUGCAUCCAUGUCUAUUAUAUUGUAAUCUCAAAAGGAGCCAAGCUAAAAAUGCAGAACCUACCGUUACCUGGUCCUUAUAAGUCAUGUAUACUUGAAAAUUAUGUGUUUCCAUGGGCUUCACAAUUCACCUAAACAUGAAAUAUCUGUGUGUGACCUUAUGGUACUCAUAAGUCACAUAAACCUGACAGUGUCCUCACAAGUAGCAUUAAAUUCAGGUUUGACCAAAAUUUAGCCCUAGCCAAAAUCUCA
ensembl:lncRNA